rnacentral:tRNA from 1 species
AGGAUUAUAAUUUAAAUAAAAUAUUUGAAUUGCAAUCAAAAUAUAUUGAUUAGUAUCAAUUUAUCUUA